AGUGGCGGACGGGUGAGUAACGCGUGAGAAUCUGCCUUGGGGUCGGGGACAACCACUGGAAACGGUGGCUAAUACCGGAUAAGCCGAUUGGUGAAAGAUUUAUUGCCCGAAGAGGAGCUCGCGUCUGAUUAGCUAGUUGGUGAGGUAAGAGCUCACCAAGGCAGCGAUCAGUAGCUGGUCUGAGAGGACGAUCAGCCACACUGGGACUGAGACACGGCCCAGACUCCUACGGGAGGCAGCAGUGGGGAAUUUUCCGCAAUGGGCGAAAGCCUGACGGAGCAAGACCGCGUGAGGGAGGAAGGCUCUUGGGUUGUAAACCUCUUUUCUCAGGGAAGAAGCUCUGACGGUACCUGAGGAAUCAGCCUCGGCUAACUCCGUGCCAGCAGCCGCGGUAAUACGGAGGAGGCAAGCGUUAUCCGGAAUUAUUGGGCGUAAAGCGUCCGCAGGUGGCGAUUCAAGUCUGCUGUCAAAGCACGGGGCUUAACUCCGUAAAGGCAGUGGAAACUGAAUAGCUAGAGUGCCGUAGGGGUAGAGGGAAUUCCCGGUGUAGCGGUGAAAUGCGUAGAGAUCGGGAAGAACAUCGGUGGCGAAAGCGCUCUACUGGACGGCAACUGACACUCAGGGACGAAAGCUAGGGGAGCGAAUGGGAUUAAAUACCCC
rnacentral:rRNA from 1 species